UUUUCUGAGAAUUUGAUCUUAGUUCAGAUUGAACGCUGGCGGCGUGGAUGAGGCAUGCAAGUCGAACGGAAUAAUGACUUCGGUUGUUAUUUAGUGGCGGAAGGGUUAGUAGUACAUAGAUAAUCUGCCCUCAACUUGGGGAUAACGGUUGGAAACGAUCGCUAAUACCGAAUGUAGUGUAAUUAGGCAUCUAAUAUAUAUUAAAGAAGGGGAUCUUCGGACCUUUCGGUUGAGGAAGAGUUUAUGCGAUAUCAGCUUGUUGGUGGGGUAAAAGCCCACCAAGGCGAUGACGUCUAGGCGGAUUGAGAGAUUGACCGCCAACACUGGGACUGAGACACUGCCCAGACUCCUACGGGAGGCUGCAGUCGAGAAUCUUUCGCAAUGGACGAAAGUCUGACGAAGCGACGCCGCGUGUGUGAUGAAGGCCUUAGGGUUGUAAAGCACUUUCGCCUGGGAAUAAGAGAGAUUGGCUAAUAUCCAAUCGAUUUGAGCGUACCAGGUAAAGAAGCACCGGCUAACUCCGUGCCAGCAGCUGCGGUAAUACGGAGGGUGCUAGCGUUAAUCGGAUUUAUUGGGCGUAAAGGGCGUGUAGGCGGAAAGGAAAGUUAGAUGUUAAAUUUUGGGGCUCAACCCCAAGUCAGCAUUUAAAACUAUCUUUCUAGAGGAUAGAUGGGGAAAAGGGAAUUCCACGUGUAGCGGUGAAAUGCGUAGAUAUGUGGAAGAACACCAGUGGCGAAGGCGCUUUUCUAAUUUAUACCUGACGCUAAGGCGCGAAAGCAAGGGGAGCAAACAGGAUUAGAUACCCUGGUAGUCCUUGCCGUAAACGAUGCAUACUUGAUGUGGAUGGUCUCAACCCCAUCCGUGUCGGAGCUAACGUGUUAAGUAUGCCGCCUGAGGAGUACACUCGCAAGGGUGAAACUCAAAAGAAUUGACGGGGGCCCGCACAAGCAGUGGAGCAUGUGGUUUAAUUCGAUGCAACGCGAAGGACCUUACCUGGACUUGACAUGUAUUUGACAACUGUAGAAAUACAGCUUUCCGCAAGGACAGAUACACAGGUGCUGCAUGGCUGUCGUCAGCUCGUGCCGUGAGGUGUUGGGUUAAGUCCCGCAACGAGCGCAACCCUUAUCGUUAGUUGCCAGCACUUAGGGUGGGAACUCUAACGAGACUGCCUGGGUUACCCAGGAGGAAGGCGAGGAUGACGUCAAGUCAGCAUGGCCCUUAUGUCCAGGGCGACACACGUGCUACAAUGGUUAGUACAGAAGGUAGCAAGAUCGUGAGAUGGAGCAAAUCCUAAAAGCUAGCCCCAGUUCGGAUUGUAGUCUGCAACUCGACUACAUGAAGUCGGAAUUGCUAGUAAUGGCGUGUCAGCCAUAACGCCGUGAAUACGUUCUCGGGCCUUGUACACACCGCCCGUCACAUCAUGGGAGUUGGUUUUACCUUAAGUCGUUGACUCAACCUAUUUAUAGGAGAGAGGCGACCAAGGUGAGGCUGAUGACUGGGAUGAAGUCGUAACAAGGUAGCCCUACCGGAAGGUGGGGCUGGAUCACCUCCUUUN
rnacentral:rRNA from 18 species